rnacentral:rRNA from 1 species
CCGCGAAUCAUCGAGUCUUUGAACGCAAGUUGCGCCCGAGGCUUGUCCAAGGGCAUUUCCGCUAGAGCGUCACC